AAGUACUUUGAAGAGAGAGUUCAAGAGUACGUGACCCCGCUUCGAGGCAAACGGGUGGGCCCUCGAAAGUCGAACGGCGGGGGGAUUCAGUCGGGAGGCAGGAGUGAGGGCGCUUCGCUGCCCGUGGCGGACCCUAGCGGGCCCCGGCGUGCGAUGGACGUCCCGUCUCCCGACGCACUUUCCCCUGCCCAGUAAUACGCUGCGACCGGUUGGGUUGGAUACGAGUGUCGGCCGUGAGGGUCGGACGACAAAGGUGGCUGGUGGUGUGCUCCCCCGAGCCCUGCCAGUGUUACAUCUGACCGGCCCGGGCACGUCACCCGACCGAGGCACCAAGUGGCCCUGUGUGGGCCAGUCUGCACCCUCCACGUCGGGAGCGGAUCUCCCGCCAGGGGUUCGACGUCCGGUCGUUCCGCGUGCUAGCGGGCGGCCGGGCUCGGGCAAUGGUGGGCGGGAAGAGUCCGUGCGGGUGCAGGAGGUCGGCAGCGAGUAGGUCGGUCACCCACCCGACCCGUCUUG
rnacentral:rRNA from 1 species